rnacentral:rRNA from 1 species
AUUGAACGCUGGCGGCAGGCCUAACACAUGCAAGUCGAACGGUAACAGGAAGAAGCUUGCUUCUUUGCUGCCGAGGGGCGGACGGGUGAGUAAUGUCUGGGAAACGGCCUGAUGGAGGGGGAUACCUACUGGAAACGGUAGCUAUUACCGCAUACCUCCGCAAGCCCAAAGGGGGGGACCUUCGGGCCCCUUCCCAUCGGAUGUGCCCAGAUGGGAUUAGCUAGUAGGUGGGGUAACGGCUCACCUAGGCGACGAUCCCUAGCUGGUCUGAGAGGAUGACCAGCCACACUGGAACUGAGACACGGUCCAGACUCCUACGGGAGGCAGCAGUGGGGAAUAUUGCACAAUGGGCGCAAGCCUGAUGCAGCCAUGCCGCGUGUAUGAAGAAGGCCUUCGGGUUGUAAAGUACUUUCAGCGGGGAGGAAGGGAGUAAAGUUAAUACCUUUACUCAUUGACGUUACCCGCAGAAGAAGCACCGGCUAACUCCGUG